rnacentral:rRNA from 1 species
GUGUCAGCAGCCGCGGUAAAACGUAGGAGCCAAGCGUUAUCCGAAUUCACUGGGCGUAAAGCGCAUGUAGGCGGCGCGGUAAGUUGGCUGUGAAAGCUCCCGGCUCAACUGGGAGUGGCCGGUCAAGACUGCCGGGCUCGAGGGCGGUAGGGGAAGGCGGAAUUCCGGGUGUAGUGGUGAAAUGCGUAGAUAUCCGGAGGAACACCUGUGGCGAAGGCGGCUUUCUGGGCCGUACCUGACGCUGAGAUGCGAAAGCUAGGGGAGCGAACGGGAUUAGAUACCCCCGUAGUCC